rnacentral:rRNA from 1 species
CAGCAGCCGCGGUAAUACGAAGGGGGCUAGCGUUGUUCGGAUUUACUGGGCGUAAAGCGCACGUAGGCGGAUCGAUCAGUCAGGGGUGAAAUCCCAGAGCUCAACUCUGGAACUGCCUUUGAUACUGUCGAUCUGGAGUAUGGAAGAGGUGAGUGGAAUUCCGAGUGUAGAGGUGAAAUUCGUAGAUAUUCGGAGGAACACCAGUGGCGAAGGCGGCUCACUGGUCCAUUACUGACGCUGAGGUGCGAAAGCGUGGGGAGCAAACAGGAUUAGAUACCCGAGUAGUCCCUGUCUCUUAUAC